rnacentral:snRNA from 1 species
GUGCUCACUUUGGCAGCACAUAAACUAAAACUGGAGUGAUACAGAAAAGAAUAUUAUGGUGUCUGUGUAAGGAUGACACACAAAUUCAUGAAGCAUUUCAUCUACUU